rnacentral:rRNA from 1 species
UCAGGACGAACGCUGGCGGCGUGCUUCAUACAUGCAAGUCGAACGAUAAGGUCUCUUCGGAGAUACAUAAGUGGCGGACGGGUGAGUAAAAUGUAGAGAAUCUGCCCUUAAGCGGGGGACAACAGAGGGAAACUUCUGCUAAUACCCCAUAUGAGCGUACCUGAAAUGGUAUUCUUGAAAACUCCGGUGCUUAAGGAUGAGUCUGCAUCUGAUUAGCUAGUUGGGGGUGUAAUGGACCACCAAGGCGACGAUCAGUAGCUGGUUUGAGAGGAUGAUCAGCCACAAUGGGACUGAGACACGGCCCAUACUCCUACGGGAGGCAGCAGUAGGGAAUUUUGCGCAAUGGGGGAAACCCUGACGCCAGCAACGCCGCGUGACCGAUGAAGCCCUUCGGGGUGUAAAGGUCUGUCAGUGGGGACGAAACUUGACGGUACCCACAGAGGAAGCAUCGGCUAACUCCGUGCCAGCAGCCGC